UAUCUGGGUUGAUGGAAUUUCGGCGGU
rnacentral:piRNA from 1 species